rnacentral:snoRNA from 2 species
GGGUCAAUGAUGACAACCCAAUAUCAUGAAGAAAGGUGAUGACAUAAAAUUCAUGCUCAAUAGGUUUACGCUGAGGCCC